GCCCAAUGAUGAGACCAAGGCGAAUACGAGCUCGCUGAAUGAGAGUUGGGUUCUUCUUGCCUUGAGUGGCAGGUAAUCUUGGCAGUGCAGGGGAGGAUGCCUGCCCUGCUGUAAGGGCCUGCCUACAACGACCUGGCUCGACCCAAAUUAUUCUUCUACAGUCACAGUGAGAGUAAUAACUGGGAGAAGCCUGACAUUGUGUGUGUGUGCAUGUCCGAGUGUGUGUGUGCAUGUGUAUAAGUCAAGGAGUUAUCCCAGCUCUCUUUUCCAUUCAGUUAGUAAUGAGUUGCCUCUUUGGUAAUCUGAGGGCA